GGGCAAAUGUGGCGUGAGAAAGGAGCAGGUAUGAUGGAAAAGAGGAAGUGGUGAUGAAAGGAGGGAGAAGAAGAAGAAAUUAAUGAAGAUGAAAAGAGGAAGAUGGGGGCAAGGAAGCACAUGUUGGGAGUCAGGCACUUUGUGUGAAGGCAGAAGGUGAUGCUCCUCUCAAAACCAAACUGCUGCUCCAGCUGUUGCGGCCUCCUUGCCUGAAAACAAGAAGAACCAGUGCAAAUGCACGUUACUGUGGACAUGUGCUGCUGCAAGCUGUGCUAGCAUCAUGCCUUAAAUCCAAGUUGUUGCAACGAAUUGCACUUUCCUGCUGUUUUCAGAGCAG